UUUACAGUAAACUACAAAGCAUUUAUUGUGGCUGGAGUUGAGAAGCUUUCUUUGGUUUUGCUUCUGUUUGUUUUCACAGAAAGAGGUUUUCCAGGGGGCAAGGAUGGGGGAAGGAGCAAUAAAAGCUAUGAAAGGUUAGUAGGGGUCAAAAUCCUGAAGAUUUUGUAAGCCACAUUAGGGAAUUUGGACUUUAUCCCGCAUUUAAGACCAAAAUAUCAGAGUUUAAGGAAAUGAAAUAAUCAGAAAGAUCACUAUGAAGACAUAGGAAAAACUGAACAUAUAAUAGUAUGGUAGAUCAUCAGCAUGAUGGUCUUUCAGGGUAAGUUUUAAUCAUCUUUAAAAAUAAAGGCCAGGUGUAGUAGCUCACGCCUGUAAUCCCAGUACUUUACAAGGCAGGCAGAUCGCUUGAGCACAGGAGUUCGAAACCAGCCUAGGCAACAUGGCAAAACCCCGUCUCCACAAAAAAUACAAAAAAAAGCUGGGUGUGGUGGCACAUGCCUGUAGUCCCAGUUACUCGGGAGGCUGAAGUGGGAUCUCCUGAGCCUGAGAGGCAGAAGUUGCAAUGAGCCAAGAUUGUACCACUGCAUUCCAGCAUGGGUGACAGAGUAAGA
rnacentral:lncRNA from 10 species